GCCUUGGGAGCUGCUCCCUAACCUCCAUCAGCACUUGAGCUUUCGAGGUGUUGAGAGGGGCAUAGCUGUGGAACCUUCCAAGAGGAGAGCCUCGCCGAACUCGACGGUCUGGGCUUUUCUGCUUACAAGCUCGGGGAGGAGUUCAGACGUGCCUAUGUCCGGGAGGAAUUCGAGAACGUAGUCGAGCUUCACUCGGCCCUUUUUCAACUGUGGGUU
rnacentral:lncRNA from 1 species